UCCUGCUGGAUCCCUCCCCUCCGAACAAGGGCGAUCCCGGCUGGAAACGAGGAGAAAAGGCCACCGAGGGGCCGGCGGGAAGGCUCGGCGCGGUGGCCUGACCUGCCACGCUGGCGGUGGCAGCUUCGUCGCUGGCGGCUUGAAUGGAGUUUCUCCCUUAAAAGCCGCCUGCGCUCUGCGGCCGGGCGGCGCGGCUCUUGUCAGGCUGCCAGAGGAGGCCGGAGCAGCGUCACAUGCCGCAAAGUUUUACAAGGCGAGCAAGCCGUCUGGGGAGAGGGACAGGAGAGGGGACAGACACACGCACGCACUCGGACGCGCACGCGGAGAAACCUCCUCCGGGCUCCCUCCGGCUCUGAUACCAACGUUUAUUUUUUAUUUUUAUAUAUAUAUAUAUAUUUUUUUUUUUUUUUGGAAGAACAAAGACUGUGGGGUGGGUUGGUGCGUUUGUUUUUCCGGGGUUGGUGUCGGUGGACGGGGAGGGGGGAAGGAGGCUGGAGGCGGAGGGGGGAGCCGGCGGCUCGAAUGCGAGAAAGUCCUGAAUUUCCCUGGCCGAGUUGCCGAGGCCAUCUCUGCGAAACUUGGAGGAGGAAAGACGGGGGGGGAAAAAGGGGGGGAAAGAAAAAUAAUUAAAAAAUAAAAUAUGAUGACGUCACUUGGAGCAGGGGUGCCUUCCCCGCUGCCUGUCAGAUGCGCCUGAAAAGAACAGGGCAAUAAAA